rnacentral:rRNA from 1 species
UACGAAGGAUGCAAGCGUUAUCCGGAAUUAUUGGGUUUAAAGGGUGCGUAGGCGGACCUGUAAGUCAGUGGUGAAAGCCUGUUGCUUAACAACAGAACUGCCAUUGAUACUGCAAGUCUUGAGUACAGUUGGGGUAGGCGGAAUGUGUCAUGUAGCGGUGAAAUGCUUAGAUAUGACACAGAACACCGAUUGCGAAGGCAGCUUGCUAAGCUGUAACUGACGCUGAUGCACGAAAGCGUGGGGAGCAAACAGG